UGGCGGACGGGUGAGUAACGCGUGGGGAACCUGCCCUGUACAGGGGGAUAACACUUAGAAAUAGGUGCUAAUACCGCAUAAGCGCACAGCUUCGCAUGAAGCGGUGUGAAAAACUCUGGUGGUAUACGAUGGUCCCGCGUCUGAUUAGCUAGUUGGUGGGGUAAUGGCCUACCAAGGCAACGAUCAGUAGCCGGCCUGAGAGGGUGAACGGCCACAUUGGGACUGAGACACGGCCCAAACUCCUACGGAAGGCAGCAG
rnacentral:rRNA from 1 species